CCCCAAAAAGCCGUCCCAGUUCGGAUCGCAGGCUGCAACCCGCCUGCGUGAAGUCGGAAUUGCUAGUAAUCGCGGAUCAGAAUGCCGCGGUGAAUGCGUUCCCGGGUCUUGUACACACCGCCCGUCACACCAUGGAAGUUGGGGCGCCCGAAGUUGCCUAAGAAAUAAGGUACCUAAGGCGAAACCAAUGACUGGGGUGAAGUCGUAACAAGGUACC
rnacentral:rRNA from 1 species